rnacentral:lncRNA from 1 species
CUCCCUUGCCCACAGAGUUCCAUGUACUCCCACAUCCUUGGAAACAGGAAGACUGGCUUCCUGCACAGCUCUGUCUUGGCCUUGUGAGGACAACAAGAUCAGAGCCAACAUUGUCUCCUGUGAAGAACCCUGAGAUCUCCAACUACCCAAUAGGCCCAGUGCCUGUUGCUUCCAGUUCUAGCUAAUUCUCAAGUGACGUUCUCUGCCUGAGCCUUUGGUGUUGUGCUAGUUUCCCUCUUCUAUCCAACAGAGCUGGAAACUCAUUUUCCCCCAGCCACCUACACAGGCCAACAGUCACAAGAUUCUCACAAGAAAAUGAAUUUCACCUCACGUUUUCCUGGGAAUUCAGUUAUGGUUUUAAAUUUUUUACCUGCUGCUAAAGUGUUGGUGUUGGGAAAGUAGACAUCAACUCUGAAUCAUCUAU